rnacentral:rRNA from 1 species
UACGGGGGGGGCAAGCGUUUGUUCGGAAUUACUGGGCGUAAAGGGCUCGUAGGCGGCCAACUAAGUCAGACGUGAAAUCCCUCGGCUAACCGGGGAACUGCGUCUGAUACUGGGUGCUUGAUCGGAGAGGGUGCGGAAUCAGUGUAGCGGUGAAAUGACGCAGAUAUACAGGAAGAACACCCGUGGCUAAGGCGGUUCUCUAGUACGGUACUGACGCUGAGACGCGAAAGCGUGGGGAGCGAACAGG